rnacentral:misc_RNA from 1 species
GCAACAUCUGACGAUCACAUAAGCCUUCUUUUAGCAGAGGCAAAGCUUCUCGCACAUGACUCCAACGAUGUCGAUGGCACAGCUGGAUCAGCUAGUCCAAAUGGAACUGUUAAAGAGGCAGCUGACAAAGUACUAAAUAACGUAUUAGCAAACAUGUUUGUCGAAAAUGCCCGAUUAAGGAUGCAGAUGAACUCUGUCAUCCGUUGUGCUCUAAAUGCAAAUGGGACAAGUGAGAAAGAUGAAAAUGAAUCUCUCAAGGAAGAACUGUUCUAAGCAAGUCUUUAGAGGAAGAGAUUCCUGAAUGGAUAUAUAUAAUGACCUUACUCUGUAGUGGCAAGAAAUGGGAGAGCUGUAGAUUUUGAAUAAAUG